GUCCUGUGACUGCGUACCUUUUGUAUAAUGGGUCAGCGACUUAUAUUCAGUGGCAAGGUUAACCAUCUAGGGGAGCCGUAGGGAAACCGAGUCUUAACUGGGCGUUCAGUCUCUGGAUAUAGACCCGAAACCAGGUGAUCUAGCCAUGGGCAGGUUGAAGGUUGAGUAACAUCAACUGGAGGACCGAACCGACUAAUGUUGAAAAAUUAGCGGAUGACUUGUGGCUAGGGGUGAAAGGCCAAUCAAACCUGGAGAUAGCUGGUUCUCCCCGAAAGCUAUUUAGGUAGCGCCUCGGACGAAUACUACUGGGGGUAGAGCACUGUUAAGGCUAGGGGGUCAUCCCGACUUACCAACCCUUUGCAAACUCCGAAUACCAGUAAGUACUAUCCGGGAGACACACGGCGGGUGCUAACGUCCGUCGUGGAGAGGGAAACAACCCAGACCGCCAGCUAAGGUCCCAAAUUACUACUAAGUGGGAAACGAUGUGGGAAGGCUCAGACAGCCAGGAUGUUGGCUUAGAAGCAGCCAUCAUUUAAAGAAAGCGUAAUAGCUCACUGGUCGAGUCGGCCUGCGCGGAAGAUGUAACGGGGCUAAGUA
rnacentral:rRNA from 1 species